rnacentral:ncRNA from 1 species
GAAAGCCGUGUGCGGUGAAAGUCGCACGCACGGUUUGGGUCGGGGGAAAAGGUAGAGAUAACAUCAAAGCCUUACCUAUCGACAU